CAGCAGCCGCGGUAAUACGUAGGUCCCGAGCGUUGUCCGGAUUUAUUGGGCGUAAAGCGAGCGCAGGCGGUUAGAUAAGUCUGAAGUUAAAGGCUGUGGCUUAACCAUAGUACGCUUUGGAAACUGUUUAACUUGAGUGCAAGAGGGGAGAGUGGAAUUCCAUGUGUAGCGAUGAAAUGCGUAGAUAUAUGGAGGAACACCGGUGGCGAAAGCGGCUCUCUGGCUUGUAACUGACGCUGAGGCUCGAAAGCCAGGGGAGCGAACGGGAUUAGAUACCCCCGUAGUCCCUGUCUCUUAUACA
rnacentral:rRNA from 1 species